UUUUAUUUUUUGAAACAGUCUAAGUACUUAAAUGUUUAUGGUUAUUUAUGAAUUUCAUUUAUUCACAUUAUAUUAUUAUAGUAUUUAAUACUGAACUUGCACAAAACCCAGGAGUGUAUCUCUGAAUCGUUACCAUUAACAACGGUGAAUGUCGUUUGAUCUACAGCCCAUUGCUGCCACCAUUAAGGCCUCAACUUAUCGAUACUUCAAGCUGGACUCUUGACAAAAUGGGAGCCGCUGUUCCCAGAGUCUAUAAAUGCCAGGUGCUUCUACGCAUAAAAACCCAAGCAAGUAUAUUGUUGUGAAUAGCGCAUAUACAAACACUGGGCGAGGCGGCCACAAACUUUUGUCCUCAAAUUAGGGACUACAGUAUUUUAUAUUGAACUUGCACAAAACCCAGGAGUGGCCGUGUAUCUCUGAAUCGUUACCAUU